UUUCCUCCGGUCACCGAAGUUAAGCAACGGCGGGCUUGGUUAGUACCUCGAUGGGUGACCGCUUGGGAAUACCAGGUGAUGUAAG